GUGCGUAACGCGUAUGCAACCUACCUUAUACUGGGGAAUAGCCCGAAGAAAUUCGGAUUAAUGCCCCAUAGUACUGAGAUUUCUCCUGAGAUUUUAGUUAAAGCUUCGGCGGUAUAAGAUGGGCAUGCGUCCUAUUAGCUAGUUGGUAAGGUAACGGCUUACCAAGGCAACGAUAGGUAGGGGGCCUGAGAGGGUGAUCCCCCACACUGGUACUGAGACACGGACCAGACUCC
rnacentral:rRNA from 1 species